rnacentral:rRNA from 1 species
CAAUGAAUUGACGGGGGCCCGGCACAAGCGGUGGAGGUAUGUGGUUUAAUUCGAUGCAACGCGAAGAACCUUACCUGGUCUUGACAUCCCGGAGACCCUUAGGAAACUAGGGGGUGCUUCCAUCUGGAAGAAUCUGGAGACAGGUGCUGCAUGGCUGUCGUCAGCUCGUGUCGUGAGAUGUUGGGUUAAGUCCCGCAACGAGCGCAACCCUUGCCUUUAGUUGCCAGCAGUUCGGCUGGGCACUCUAAAGGGACUGCCGGUGUUAAACCGGAGGAAGGUGGGGAUGACGUCAAGUCCUCAUGGCCUUUAUGACCAGGGCUACACACGUACUACAAUGGCCGAUACAAAGGGCAGCGACACUGCGAGGUGAAGCCAAUCCCGUAAAAUCGGUCUCAGUCCGGAUUGGAGUCUGCAACUCGACUCCAUGAAGUUGGAAUCGCUAGUAAUCGUGGAUCAGCAUGCCACGGUGAAUACGUUCCCGGGCCUU